GCGGUCGUGGCGGAAUUGGUAGACGCGCAGCGUUGAGGUCGCUGUUCUGUAACAAGAGUGGAAGUUCGAGUCUUCUCGACCGCACCA
rnacentral:tRNA from 1 species